CCUACGGGAGGCAGCAGUGGGGAAUCUUGCGCAAUGGGCGAAAGCCUGACGCAGCAACGCCGCGUGCGGGAAGAAGGCUUUCGGGCUGUAAACCGCUUUCAGCAGGAACGAAAAUGACGGUACCUGCAGAAGAAGGAGCGGCCAACUAUGUGCCAGCAGCCGCGGUGAUACAUAGGCUUCAAGCGUUGUCCGGAUUUAUUGGGCGUAAAGAGUUCGUAGGCGGUCGAGUAAGUCGGGUGUGAAAAUUCUGGGCUCAACCCAGAGACGCCACCCGAUACUGCUUGACUUGAGUUCGAUAGGGGAGUGGGGAAUUCCUAGUGUAGCGGUGAAAUGCGCAGAUAUUAGGAGGAACACCGGUGGCGAAGGCGCCACUCUGGAUCGAUACUGACGCUGAGGAACGAAAGCAUGGGUAGCAAACAGGAUUAGAUACCCUGGCAGUCCAUGCCGUAAACGGUGGGCACUAGGUGUGGGUUUCUAUUAACGAAAUCCGCGCCGUCGCUAACGCAUUAAGUGCCCCGCCUGGGGGAGGUACGGUCGCAGACUAAACUUAAAGUAAGUUAGACGGCGUGAGACGUGCCGAACGGACGACGACGAGGGGAGUAGG
rnacentral:rRNA from 1 species